rnacentral:rRNA from 1 species
UACGGAGGGUGCAAGCGUUAUCCGGAUUCACUGGGUUUAAAGGGUGCGUAGGCGGGCAGGUAAGUCAGAGGUGAAAUCUCCGGGCUUAACCCGGAAACUGCCUUUGAUACUAUCUGUCUUGAAUAUGGUGGAGGUAAGCGGAAUAUGUCAUGUAGCGGUGAAAUGCUUAGAUAUGACAUAGAACACCCAUUGCGAAGGCAGCUUACUACGCCUAUAUUAACGCUGAGGCACGAAAGCGUGGGGAUCAAACAGG